CAGGCCUAACACAUGCAAGUCGAACGCUCACCUUCGGGUGGGAGUGGCAGACGGGUGAGUAACACGUGGGAACGUGCCCUCCGGUCUGGGAUAACUCAUGGAAACGUGAGCUAAUACCGGAUACGUGCUUAGGCAGAAAGGUUUACUGCCGGAGGAUCGGCCCGCGUCUGAUUAGCUAGUUGGUGGGGUAACGGCCUACCAAGGCGACGAUCAGUAGCUGGUCUGAGAGGAUGAUCAGCCACACUGGGACUGAGACACGGCCCAGACUCCUACGGGAGGCAGCAGUGGGGAAUAUUGGGCAAUGGGCGCAAGCCUGAUCCAGCCAUGCCGCGUGAGUGAUGACGGCCUUAGGGUUGUAAAGCUCUUUUCUCCGGGACGAUAAUGACGGUACCGGAGGAAUAAGCCCCGGCUAACUUCGUGCCAGCAGCCGCGGUAAUAAU
rnacentral:rRNA from 1 species